UCAUUAUCGAAUAAGCUUGACCAGGCUGUUGCUGGUCCCCCCACGGGGUGUGUCGCUUGUCAUCUUCAUCUUUUCUCCCAACUGUGCACAUAUUGUAGACCCUUGAGGGGGGGGGCUUUGUCCCCAGGGGGGAGUCCUGCGCUUCUACGAAAACAAUAAAAUAAAGUCCUUUGGUAAGCAUUUCUCUUUUAACCUAUGGGUUUUCAGGUCUCCCCUACGGGGUUCUUGAAGGGCGCAUCGUUGAAAAAAUUUUAAGAAAUAGAAUUUUCCUGCGGAUCUCUUUUUUCUCUGAACCAUCGAAACAACGAACGAAUCUCCCACCCGUAAGGGUAAUUUGAAAGGCCGGGGGUUUGAAGUUUUUGAAACCCCCUCUUGGCCUUUUGGUCUUACGAAGAUUGGAUUGUGUAAGGUGGUUUUGAACCUCUAAAACACCUCU
rnacentral:misc_RNA from 1 species